rnacentral:rRNA from 1 species
GAUGAACGCUGGCGGCGUGCCUAAUACAUGCAAGUCGAGCGAACAGAUAAGGAGCUUGCUCCUUUGACGUUAGCGGCGGACGGGUGAGUAACACGUGGGUAACCUACCUAUAAGACUGGAAUAACUCCGGGAAACCGGUGCUAAUGCCGGAUAACAUGUUGAACCGCAUGGUUCUACAGUGAAAGGCGGCUUUGCUGUCACUUUUAGAUGGACCCGCGCCGUAUUAGCUAGUUGGUGAGGUAACGGCUCACCAAGGCAACGAUACGUAGCCGACCUGAGAGGGUGAUCGGCCACACUGGAACUGAGACACGGUCCAGACUCCUACGGGAGGCAGCAGUAGGGAAUCUUCCGCAAUGGGCGAAAGCCUGACGGAGCAACGCCGCGUGAGUGAUGAAGGUCUUCGGAUCGUAAAACUCUGUUAUUAGGGAAGAACAAAUGCGUAAGUAACUGUGCGCGUCUUGACGGUACCUAAUCAGAAAGCCACGGCUAACUACGUG